UGACGAGUUUGAUCCUGGCUCAGGAUGAACGCUAGCGGCAGGCUUAACACAUGCAAGUCGAGGGGUAUAGUUCUUCGGAGCUAGAGACCGGCGCACGGGUGCGUAACGCGUAUGCAAUCUACCUUUUACAGAGGGAUAGCCCAGAGAAAUUUGGAUUAAUACCUCAUAGUAUGUGAGAAUCGCAUGGUUUUUACACAUUAAAGUCACAACGGUAAAAGAUGGGCAUGCGUCCCAUUAACUAGAUGGUAAGGUAACGGCUUACC
rnacentral:rRNA from 1 species